AUUGAACGCUGGCGGCAGGCUUAACACAUGCAAGUCGAGCGGGGUGAUGGUGCUUGCACUAUCACUUAGCGGCGGACGGGUGAGUAAUGCUUAGGAAUCUGCCUAUUAGUGGGGGACAACAUCUCGAAAGGGAUGCUAAUACCGCAUACGUCCUACGGGAGAAAGCAGGGGAUCACUUGUGACCUUGCGCUAAUAGAUGAGCCUCAGUCGGAUUAGCUAGUUGGUGGGGGAAAGGCCUACCAAGGCGACGAGCUGUAGCGGGUCUGAGAGGAGGAUCCGCCACACUGGGACUGAGACACGGCCCAGACUCCUACGGGAGGCAGCAGUGGGGAAUAUUGGACAAUGGGGGGAACCCUGAUCCAGCCAUGCCGCGUGUGUGAAGAAGGCCUUAUGGUUGUAAAGCACUUUAAGCGAGGAGGAGGCUCUUUUGGUUAAUACCCAAGAUGAGUGGACGUUACUCGCAGAAUAAGCACCGGCUAACUCUGUGCCAGCCGCCGCGGUAA
rnacentral:rRNA from 1 species